rnacentral:rRNA from 1 species
UAGGGAGGAGGUAGUGUAGUUAACACCUGCACUAUUUGUACGUUACCUACAGAAAGAAGCACCGGCUAACUCCGUGCCAGCAGCCGCGGUAAUACGGAGGGUGCGAGCGUUAAUCGGAAUUACUGGGCGUAAAGCGCAUGCAGGCGGCCUGUUAAGUCAGAUGUGAAAGCCCCGGGGCUUAACCUCGGAAUUGCAUUUGAAACUGGCAGGCUAGAGUCUUGUAGAGGGGGUAGAAUUUCAGGUGUAGCGGUGAAAUGCGUAGAGAUCUGAAGGAAUACCAGUGGCGAAGGCGGCCCCCUGGACAAAGACUGACGCUCAGAUGCGAAAGCGUGGGGAGCAAACAGGAUUAGAUACCCUGGUAG